CCCUUAGAUGUUCGGGGCCGCACGCGCGCUACACUGAAGUAAUCAACGUGUGUCUUCCCUGGCCCGAAAGGGUCGGGUAACCCGUUGAACCUCCUUCGUGCUAGGGAUUGGGGCUUGUAAUUCUUCCCCAUGAACGAGGAAUUCCCAGUAAGCGCGAGUCAUAAGCUCGCGUUGAUUACGUCCCUGCCCUUUGUACACACCGCCCGUCGCUGCCCGGAACUGAGCCGUUUCGAGAAGACUGAGGAUUGCUGACUUGAGGCCUUCACGGGCUUCUAGUCGGUGAAAAUCAAUUUAAUCGCAGCGGCUUGAACCGGGCAAAAGUCGUAACA
rnacentral:rRNA from 1 species